UACAGAGGUCCCAAGCGUUGUUCGGAUUCACUGGGCGUAAAGGGUGCGUAGGCGGUCGGGUAAGUCUGAUGUGAAAUCUCACAGCUUAACUGUGAAACUGCAUUGGAUACUAUUCGGCUUGAGAGUUGGAGGGGGGACUGGAAUUCUUGGUGUAGCAGUGAAAUGCGUAGAUAUCAAGAGGAACACCAGUGGCGAAAGCGAGUCCCUGGACAACUUCUGACGCUGAGGCACGAAAGCUAGGGGAGCAAACAGG
rnacentral:rRNA from 1 species